AAGUCGUAACAAGGUUUCCGUAGGUGAACCUGCGGAAGGAUCAUUAACAAUUGAUUUCGAUCAAGUCCCGUGAAUUUUAUGAACUGACUUGGGAGUUACUCCCGAUAAACACCAAUCUUAUAGACCUAUAUCCAAAUAAAGUAAAACUUUUAGCAACGGAUCUCUAGGUUCUC
rnacentral:misc_RNA from 1 species